rnacentral:rRNA from 1 species
AACGUAGGAGGCGAGCGUUAUCCGGAUUCACUGGGCUUAAAGCGCGUGCAGGCGGUCGGGUAAGUCGGACGUGAAAUCUCCUGGCUCAACUGGGAGAGGCCGUUCGAUACUGCCGGACUGGAGGGCAGGAGAGGGAGGUGGAAUUCCGGGUGUAGCGGUGAAAUGCGUAGAUAUCCGGAGGAACACCUGUGGCGAAAGCGGCCUCCUGGUCUGCCCCUGACGCUCAGACGCGAAAGCUAGGGGAGCAAACGGG